CGCGCACCUGUGCGCCAGGUUCUGCUGGAGAGAGCGGAGCUGAGUGCGUUUGUUCCGCGUCUUUUACGAUUAUUUUCUGUUUUUCCUUUAUUUGAAUAUAGAUAAAAUUUAACUCAUGUAAUUAUGUAGUCUAAACCUCGCAGGAAAAAGUGAUAAAAAUCUAUCUUGCAACGAAUACUUGUUAGUUUUAAUGGUCUUUAAAUUCUGUAUUUGUUUGUCUUCGGGCAGGACAUGUUUGGCUCAGCUGCUGCAAUUAUCCAAUUCGGUGUCUGCGGGCAGGACAUACUUGGCUCAGCUGGUGGAAUUAUCGAUGAAUUGCAACGAAGUUCCAGUCUUCAUUCCGGUCGCUGCCUCGACAGAAGCCUCGGUGAAACAGUAACGUGCUGUAUGUUUCUGUUUUAACAUGUAGUUGCUUGCAAAUGUUUUCUUACUCUGUUGACUUGUAACAGUAUUUGGCGUUAAUGUUUGUCGUGCUUUUACACUUUGUAAUUGAAAUCCGUGUUAAUUUUCACUUCGAAGCUUGUGCAUCCGACGUAUUGUAAUGCUUUGUUUUGUGUGCCAUAUUCGUUCAAUAAAUUGUUGAUUGAAACUUGAUUUUGUUCCUUCAUUUCUUGUGCAGAGUUCUGUUCCCCCCUUGGCCCUGAAAAACCCCGAUGGUGGUGAGUUUUUUGGCGGAGAGAUUUUGCUAAUAGUUUGUGGCCGCAAGGGGACACCCUAUCGCUUUUUGACUUGAAAAGGUCAAAGGCUACCCCCUUUUUAAGCGUGUCCAGAUUUUCCCGCCAAAAAACUUAGUAUCUGGGGUUU
rnacentral:lncRNA from 1 species